rnacentral:rRNA from 1 species
UACAGAGACUGCAAGCGUUAUUCGGAUUCACUGGGCGUAAAGGGUGCGCCGGCGGCCGUGUGUGUCAGGUGUGAAAGCCCGGAGCUUAACUCCGGAAUUGCGCCUGAAACUACAUGGCUAGAGCAUUGGAGAGGGUAGCGGAAUUCACGGUGUAGCAGUGAAAUGCGUAGAUAUCGUGAGGAACACCAGAGGCGAAGGCGGCUACCUGGACAAUUGCUGACGCUCAGGCACGAAAGCGUGGGGAGCAAAAGGG